AAUAGAAUUAUAAAUUACGCGGUUAUUGGUGCCGUGUGCAAAGCUAAGUGCCGUGUGGAAAUUGUAUAAAGCCACAAUUGACGACUGAGCGGCCAGUGGUUUCUGUUAUUUUAUCAGAGAACAACAUAUUUUAUCGACUACAGAGUGCUGUUGAUAAUAUAGAAAAUUCUAGAACAAGCGGAGAAUUUUAUUUUUUUAAACAGUUAUUAUUUAUUCGAUUUUAAAAACCAAUAAUGGGCUGGGAUAUGUUCAAACGCAACAAGAACGACAAAAAAGAGGUUCAAGACCAACAGAAAAGUAAAACCGAGAGGUCCAGGUGUCAAUGUGAGGAAUUAGGAAAAAAAUGCCAAUGCCAGACCAAUUGCGGUUGCAGAUGUGGAACGAAACGCGUAUACAUUCGUCCGCCAAUGUUCAAUUACUUCACCGACAC